ensembl:lncRNA
CAGCGGAGUCAGAGACGGUUGGUGAUGUUGACCAAGACAUGACCAGCGGAGCUCAGACACUUCUGGUAAUGUUGACCAAGACAUGACCAGCGGAGCUCAGAGCCGGUUGGUGAUGUUGACCAAGACAUGACCAGCGGACUCAGAGCCGGUUGGUGAUGUUGACCAAGACAUGACCAGCGGAGCUCCGAGACGGCUUGGGAUGGGGACUGCUGUUCAUAUGUUGAGGCUGUCUGACAGCUGCCCGCUUCACCGUUUCAAACACCACGCAGUGCCUUUGUGAUAGUAUUUUUUGUAUUUAUGUGGCACGUCAGGGUAGAUGUAUAUGAAGUAUGAUGGGAGGUCAGUUUGCACUGUUUAAGCCUUAUUCUAAACAAAUACGAGUAGUACUAUUCCUAAGAACCAAACGACUCAAAUAUACCAAAUACUAUUAAAUAAGCUAUCAGCUAUGCUUCACUUCAACGUUCUCAACAUCACAUGUGUGACCCAUUAAUAUAUGGCUCCAUCGCUGGUUACCAUAUCAACCUGGUUACAUUGGUCCGCUGGUUACCACCUGCCGGUUAAUGAUAUUAACCAACCGCAACCGACUAACCUGGUUGACAUGUUAACACGGAACAAUCUUUGUAAACUAUGAAGUGCAGAUUAUUAGCUGUGUCUGUUGCUAUAUAUUUUUGCCCUUUUUUGCUGGGUGUAUUCAAAUUAUAACCAAAACAAUCUGAUUGGACAGCUGUGCUGCCAGAUAGGUUGCCACGGUGACGCCAAGUAGACUAAUGGAGGAUGUUAUUGAUGUAAGUUUUUUUUUCUGUUUUGCAUAAUGAACAUUACCAGGUGGAGCCAAACAGUAUUACUUUUAAUGUUGUUUUUAAUGCUAAUUGUGUUGCAGUUAAGCCAUACGAUGUUGUCAGUGUUAGGGCUGGCAGUGUGAGGCCCCCUCGUGGUGUAUUGCAGUAUUACACACUCCUUUCAGGAACCGUGUUGGGUAGCUCUGACGGUAACAGGACGGGACGUUAGUCCAACGGUACGGAGAAUUCAGAGUUCUAACACGUCUGUAGUUUAGUGGUGUUACCCAUCUGUAGUUUUUCGAUUUCCAGCUGUAGUUUAGAACUCCCUCAUCAAAGUGUUUCAUCUUUAGUUUAGUGUUCUUACUCAUCUGUUGUUGAGUUUGUAUCCAUCUGUGGUUUAGACUUCCAUCAGUAGUUUAGAGUUCUAACCUGUGUGUAGCUUAGUGUCCUUACCCAUCUGUAGUGUGUUUUUCCAUCAGUAGUUUUGAGUUCCAUCUGUUGUUUAGAAUUUCAUCUGUGCUAUACUUUUACCAUCUGUAGUUUAGAGUUCUAGUUUCGAGCUACAUCUGUAGUUCUGAGCUCCAUCUGUAUCUGUCGUAUAAUGUUCCAUCUGUCAUUGAGAGUUCCAUCUGUAGUUUAGAGUUCUUAACCAUCUGUAGUUUAGAGUUCUUAACCAUCUGUAGUUGACAGUUCUAUCUGUAGUUUAUAGUUCCAUUUGUAGUUAAGAGUUCAUACCCAUCUGUAGUUUCGAGUUGUUACCAAUCUGCCGUUUAGAGUUCCAUCUGUAGUUUAGAGUUGGUACUCUUUUGUAAGGCAACACAAGGAAUUCCAAGGCCAUAUGUCAUGUUCAGUAAAGUGUACAUUUUCAGAUGUCGUGUAGUAUGGAAUAUUUUACAUGUCAUGUUCUAAGCACAACAAAUAACCAUUUACAGUUUGUUUUAUCAAAUGUAUUAUACGUGAUGUAAUGGUGUGUGUAUUUUAUUUUACGUGUUGCACAACUUCAGUACGCACUUAUGUUUUACUGUUGGUGAUGAAGAUGAUGGAGAGGACAAAGAUGUAACCAAAGUAUUAAAGCACAGUUGCCCAGGCAGCCAGAUGUCUGUCUCUUAUCAGACAAGUUAAUAAAAACCUUUUUAUUGUAGUCUAGGUGUCCGUUGUAAAUAGACUGUUC